rnacentral:rRNA from 1 species
UGGGGAAUUUUGGACAAUGGGGGCAACCCUGAUCCAGCCAUGCCGCGUGCGGGAAGAAGGCCUUCGGGUUGUAAACCGCUUUUGUCCGGGAAGAAAAGGCCACGGUGAAUACCCGUGGUUCUUGACGGUACUGGAAGAAUAAGCACCGGCUAACUACGUGCCAGCAGCCGCGGUAAUACGUAGGGUGCGAGCGUUAAUCGGAAUUACUGGGCGUAAAGCGUGCGCAGGCGGUUCGCUGUGUCUGCGGUGAAAGCCCCGGGCUCAACCUGGGAAUGGCCGUGGAAACUGGCGGGCUGGAGUGUGGCAGAGGGGGGUGGAAUUCCGCGUGUAGCAGUGAAAUGCGUAGAGAUGCGGAGGAACACCGAUGGCGAAGGCAACCCCCUGGGCUGACACUGACGCUCAGGCACGAAAGCGUGGGGAGCAAACAGGAUUAGAUACCCUGGUAGUCCACGCCCUAAACGAUGUCAACUAGGUGUUGGGGGAGCGAUUUCUCAGUACCGUAGCUAACGCGCGAAGUUGACCGCCUGGGGAGUACGGCCGCAAAGUUAA